rnacentral:lncRNA from 1 species
UUUAAUCCAACAAUCCAUUUCAUAAUCAAUUGACAACCAUAAUGUUAAACCAUUUACAUUUAUAAAUCACUUAAAUCCACUUGAUAAAAUCCAUUUACCAUAUCCAAUAACAUCCAAUACAAGAAAAUGAAACAAAAUGGAAAAAAGGGCAGUGGUAAUUGAAAAAAGUUGCAGCCAAAACCUGAUAUAGCCCGUUCAUAAGCUAACGAAGCACAAACUGCCACUCACACCAUUAAGCCAAACUCCAAACGCUGCAAGAAACGAUAAGCCACCUGCAAAAGAAAGAAAAACGCAUUUGCUAAAGAAGCUAAACGGCGCCAAACCAAAACUGAUAAGUGCUUCCAAAAACUGCAGCAUCAAUAACAACAACACUAGCCAUCCCAGCUACAAACCAAGCGUCGGUAAACGCAGCUAACAUCAAACUGCACAACAACAAAGUUGCAGUGAAAAAAAGCAGAAACGGCGACGGAAACAACGCAACACAACUACAAUAAAACUCAAAGCUACCGCCAAACACCGACAAAACAAUGUAGCAAACCAAAAACAAAGCUGAAAUGCAGAAAACAAAUGCUUGCCAAACCUACCCAAACACCGACAAUGUAAAUCAACCACCACCAAAAAGCUGCUACGGCUCAAAGCUACCAAACCUGCAUUAACAAAGUUCUGCAUAUCAAAACCAUUUAUUUAACCUGCAUAAAAAUCCUGCAAAAAAAAGAACGAUAACAAAAUCGCCAAACGAAAUCCAUAACAGAAAAAACUAACUUCUAACCUCACUCUCAUCACUCUAUAAAUACAAACCUUCACUCUUCAUCUAAACGGUUUUUUUUCAUCUUCAUUCACUCUCUCAACAUCACCUUCAUCAUCUUCUUCAAUCAGUUUCUUUCCCUAACCGCAUCAUUCUUCCACCACCGUCAACACCGCUUCAACCACCGUGAACUCAAUCCUAAUAACAGAGUAACGAAUCACAAUCACGUCUGCAGAA